AUUCCUCCCCCUCAUCCUCCAUGCAGAGCCUUCACAGACGAUGAAGGCUCUGAAUGGGAGAUGAGGGGGAGGAGG